GAAAAAUUGAGGAUGGGAAGUACAAAGAGCUAAAUUUGUAAAGUUGAAACCAUAAAUAGAGAAAACUCUUUUCUUCUUGUCCUCCAGUUCACUUUGUAGCUUGUUGCUAAUCCUUAUAAUAAAAAAUAAAUAAAAUAAACUUCAGUUGAACACUGAUUUUACCCCACUUUGUUGCUAAUGGUUUGAUAAAGAGACUGAAAUUGUGUGUUCCAUUUAUCAAUAGCUGUAUACUUCUUCAUCCCCUUUGACCUGUCGCAAUGCUCCAACAAUUUGUUUACUUGGUCAAUAUGACCUUGUAUCCGGUUAUCCAAUAUCAGUGACACCAAUAACGUUUCCACUUCACCUUCCGGUACGUUAAUCUCCUUCGAUAUAAAAGGAAUCCUGAUCCGUGUGUAUGGUUUAAUGAGUUUCAGCAACACUUGAGUCCUUAUAUUCUUCAACAAGUCCUCGAUAUAAUUUCUAAUGAAUGGAUCAUCCAUGAUAGUUUUUCUAUUGCUCUUAAGGAUUUUCUCAAACUCCAAUAUCUCAUUUCGUUGAUAUGCAGCAAUCAAAUUAGUCAUGGCCAAGAUUUCUGGGUCAUUUUUGUACGGUUUUGCCUCCUGCCCAUCAAACGGAUUAACUUGUGAUUCCAUAAGCAUGUUGGCCAGCACUAAGUAUUUCAGGCACUGUAUGCGCCGUUGAUUACCAGCUUCAUCGUAAUUCUUAAAA
rnacentral:misc_RNA from 1 species